ensembl:rRNA 5S_rRNA 5S ribosomal RNA
GUCUACGGCCAUACUAUCCUGUAAGCACCCAGUCACUUCUAAUCUCAGAAACUAAGCAGUGUCAGGCUUUGUUAGUACUUGGUUGGUAGACCACCUGGGAAUAGCAGGUGCUAUAAGCU